UACAGAGGGGGCGAGCGUUGUUCGGAAUUACUGGGCGUAAAGGGCGCGUAGGCGGCCCGCUAAGUCGAACGUGAAAUCCCCAGGCUCAACUUCGAGCUGUCGGUGGAAACUAUCUGGCUAGAGUCCGGAAGAGGAGAAUGGAAUUCCUGGUGUAGCGGUGAAAUGCGCAGAUAUCAGGAAGAACACCCGUGGCGAAGGCGGUUCUCUGGGACGGUACUGACGCUGGAGACGCGAAAGCGUGGGGAGCGAACAGG
rnacentral:rRNA from 1 species